rnacentral:rRNA from 1 species
GAUGAACGCUAGCUACAGGCUUAACACAUGCAAGUCGAGGGGAAACGACAUCGAAAGCUUGCUUUUGGUGGGCGUCGACCGGCGCACGGGUGAGUAACGCGUAUCCAACCUGCCCACCACUUGGGGAUAACCUUGCGAAAGUAAGACUAAUACCCAAUGAUAUCCCACGAAGGCAUCCGAAUGGGAUUAAAGAUUUAUCGGUGAUGGAUGGGGAUGCGUCUGAUUAGCUUGUUGGCGGGGUAACGGCCCACCAAGGCAACGAUCAGUAGGGGUUCUGAGAGGAAGGUCCCCCCACAUUGGAACUGAGACACGGUCCAAAACUCCUACGGGAGGCAGCAGUGAGGAAUAUUGGUCAAUGGGCGAGAGCCUGAACCAGCCAAGUAGCGUGCAGGACGACGGCCCUAUGGGUUGUAAACUGCUUUUAUAGGGGGAUAAAGUGUGCCACGUGUGGCAUAUUGCAGGUACCCUAUGAAUAAGGACCGGCUAAAUUCCGUG